ensembl:misc_RNA Metazoa_SRP Metazoan signal recognition particle RNA
GCUGGGCUUGGUGAUGCGAGCCUGUAGUCCCAGCUACUCGGGAGGCUGAGGCAGGAGAAUUGCCUGAACCUAGGAGUUUGAGGCUGAGGUGAGCUAUGAUGGCACCACUGCACUCCAUCCUGGGUGACAAAGCAAGAUCCUGUCUCUA